UGGGGGAUAUUGCACAAUGGGGGGGAACCCUGAUGCAGCGACGCCGCGUGGGUGAAGAAGCGCCUCGGCGCGUAAAGCCCUGUCAGCAGGGAAGAAAAUGACGGUACCUGAAGAAGAAGCCCCGGCUAACUACGUGCCAGCAGCCGCGUAAUCACUGUCU
rnacentral:rRNA from 1 species